CAAAAGGUGGCCCACAUGGGCCCUGGUACAACAGACAGAGCCUGGGGCUAUGGCCCACAAGGUCUGCCCUCACAGUCUACAAACAAAAACAUCUGGUACAACAUCAACCUGCUAAGACCCCUGCUGGUACCCCAGGAGGGGGCGAGCAGUAUCACAGAACAAGGGCCCAAC